rnacentral:rRNA from 1 species
UACGUAGGGUGCGAGCGUUGUCCGGAAUUAUUGGGCGUAAAGAGCUCGUAGGCGGUCUGUCGCGUCUGGUGUGAAAAUCCAGGGCUUAACCCUGGACCUGCAUCGGGUACGGGCAGACUAGAGUGCGGUAGGGGAGAUCGGAAUUCCUGGUGUAGCGGUGAAAUGCGCAGAUAUCAGGAGGAACACCGGUGGCGAAGGCGGAUCUCUGGGCCGUAACUGACGCUGAGGAGCGAAAGCAUGGGGAGCGAACAGG